rnacentral:piRNA from 1 species
GACAACCACCGAAGGUGUUUCUUUAGCGUC